rnacentral:lncRNA from 1 species
CCUGGUUGGAAUUGGUGUGACCUGGUUGGAGUAGGUGUGUUCCUGUGGGUGUGGGCAUAAAAUCCUCACCUUAGUUGCCUGAAAGUCAGUUUUCCACUAGCAGCUUUUGGAUGAAGACGUAGAACUCUCAGCUCUGCCUGUGCCAUGCCUGCCUGAAUACUGCCAUGCUCUUGAUGAUAAUAGACUGAACCUCUGAACCUUCACAAAGCCUUUGUGGUAUGAGCAAAACUGUAAGGAAAGC